AAUGAACGUUGGCGGCGUGGAUUAGGCAUGCAAGUCGAGCGAGAACCCCGCAAGGGGGGACAGCGGCGAAAGGGACAGUAAUGUGUAGAUUAUCUGCCCUCAGGUCCGGGAUAGCUGCGGGAAACUGCAGGUAAUACCGGAUAACAUCUCCGGAUCAAAGGUGUGAUUCCGCCUGAGGAUGAGUCUGCAUCCUAUUAGCUAGUUGGUGGGGUAAUGGCCUACCAAGGCAUUGAUGGGUAGCAGGUGUGAGAGAACGACCUGCGUCAUUGGGACUGAGACACUGCCCAGACACCUACGGGGGGCUGCAGUCGAGAAUCUUCGGCAAUGGGAGCAAGCCUGACCGAGCGACGCCGCGUGUGGGAUGAAGGCCUGCGGUUUGUAAACCACUGUCAGAUGUGAUGAAAUGCAGGUAGGUUCUCCCAUCUGUUUGACAUAGCCUCAGAGGAAGGACGGGCUAAGUUCGUG
rnacentral:rRNA from 1 species